rnacentral:rRNA from 1 species
UGGGGAAUUUUGGACAAUGGGCGAAAGCCUGAUCCAGCAAUGCCGCGUGUGUGAAGAAGGCCUUCGGGUUGUAAAGCACUUUUGUCCGGAAAGAAAUCCUUGGCUCUAAUACAGUCGGGGGAUGACGGUACCGGAAGAAUAAGCACCGGCUAACUACGUGCCAGCAGCCGCGGUAAUACGUAGGGUGCAAGCGUUAAUCGGAAUUACUGGGCGUAAAGCGUGCGCAGGCGGUUUGCUAAGACCGAUGUGAAAUCCCCGGGCUCAACCUGGGAACUGCAUUGGUGACUGGCAGGCUAGAGUAUGGCAGAGGGGGGUAGAAUUCCACGUGUAGCAGUGAAAUGCGUAGAGAUGUGGAGGAAUACCGAUGGCGAAGGCGAGCCCCCUGGGCCAAUACUGACGCUCAUGCACGAAAGCGUGGGGAGCAAACAGGAUUAGAUACCCCUGGUAGUCCAGCGCCCUAAACGAUGUCAACUAGUUGUUGGGGAUUCAUUUCCUUAGUAACGUAGCUAACGCGUGAAGUUGACCGCCNGGGGAGUACGGUCGCAAGAUUAAAACUCAAAUGAAUUG